AACUCUCGGCAACGGAUAUCUCGGCUCUCGCAUCGAUGAAGAACGUAGCAAAAUGCGAUACUUGGUGUGAAUUGCAUAAUCCCGUGAACCAUCGAGUCUUUGAACGCAAGUUGCGCCCCAAGGCCUAGGGGACGUAUGUCUGGGUGUCA
rnacentral:rRNA from 1 species